UUCCUCUUCACAGUCAUAAAAGGUAAAGCAGAUUUGUUAUUUUGUUUCUGCACCCACAGCUGGUAUGUUUGGGCUUAUCCUCAUUUGCUGCAGCCAAAGACUUUGGCAUUCUAUUGUUACUGCUGUGCAUUCCGUCAUAUUAUAACUUUGCACAUGCCAUGUUUAAUCUAAUAGUUUUUUUACUAUGAUCUUUUCUUUUGUGAUAGAUAAAUGUCAGUUUAGCAGAAGAUGAACAUUCACCUUCUGGUAAGUCUUCCUGGAUGGGCAGCAGCACAGUGGGCUGACGGGCAGGAGAACUUGUACCAGAGCUGAGUUCAGGGAGCUGCUGCAAGUCCUGUACCUCAGGCUGGAGAGUGGAAACUGGAAUGCAGAAAGCUUUGGGCAGCUUGAAUGGGAGCUCUAGAAAUAAUACAAAGGAGGAAAGGAGGCUCUUGAUGCAGGUGUGUGAUGAAGUUUGCAUGUGGAUGCAAACAGGAGCCUCUGAAACAUAGGGUUCUGCCUCUCAGCAAGAGUUGGUUUUAAUUUAAUUACAUAGGAAAGAGAGAGUAACAUUGAACAUCUUCAGCUGACUCUGGCAGCUACCCUAAAUUAAAGAAAACAUCAAAAUCUAAGGAUCUUAGACUGUUUAAAAAGCCACAGCUCAUCCCACCAAGUUUAUCGAGUAUCGCUGGCACGUGGAACACUGAAACAAUCUCUGUGCUUCUGUAGGGGAGAGAGCGGUUCAAUUCUGGAAGCCUCUAAUCAGGCAGAAUUUGCUUAUAUUUUUCCCCUUACCUUUCAAGACAGCAGUAGCGCAUCUCUUCAUUUCUCUGUUGCAUUCAGCAUGUUUUUCACAGUACUGGUCUGUGAAAUAAAACUCCCAGAAUCAGAAACAUGCUUAAGAUUUUGUUUGUGGUUCUGAAGUCUCAGGAAAUCUCACAAAAGCUAUAUGCUUUUAGCCCUGCUGAAUUUCUGCUGUCUUCAGAUCUUAUCUUUCCAGCAGCUGUUUCUCACUUUAUCCAGUGUGACCAGACUUAUCCCAUAGGAAAAAGUAUGUUUCCAGAUUUCCUAAAAUUCUGUAAUUUUUAUUCCCAUAGUGACAUAAGAAUAGGUCACCCUUUGAAUCCUAUUUAUGCCAGCUUCACAAACUUACUCAUUGGUUUUAUCAUGCAGAUGGUUGCGUGUAAGAAAACAUAUUUGUUAAAUGUAAAUCUUAACUGCUUAGAGUCUCUGUCUCUACAUAAUAUCUAGCCUAAUGUCACCAUAGGACAACAUUUAUGUUUUCAUUUAAAAAUAAAGUAAGCAGAUGGGACUUCUCUCAUCCAGAGAGUAGUAAAUUAAAAGCAAAAGUAACCAUUUUUUUAAUAUUGUACUCUGCUGGGAUGAGAGUUUGGCAUUAUGACAUCUGGUCUAAUUUGAGUACUCCAGUAGCUGCUGUGUAGCAUUCACUAAAACUCUGAAAUGAAUCCUGCUGAUAUUAUUUCUGCAUAAUCUGUGUGAGCUCCCUAAUCCAUGCAGCAAACCUGUGCCUCUCUGCUUUUCAGUAACAAAACAAAAAACUUAGCACAGACUUCAUUGCUUUCAUGGUGUAUGUCAAGUAAUAAUCAGUGUAACUGAGACACUAUCACAGGAAGUGUGAACUUAGUUACUUACAUUUAUCCACUGUUUGCUUCAUGAAACUUGCAUUUGAGAUUACCUGUUUAUGAAAGACAGUGGGAAUCAGAAAGAAAAGAGAGGUAACAGUCUCACAAUUUGUAUCUUUGAAUGCUUCUUCUCAUACUAUUUAACACUCUGAUUUUCUGAGUUUUUUAACCAUUAGGACAAGUUAUUGAGACUCCACUGACUAUCAGAAGUGUUUCUUCAAUAGGUUGAGAUGUUAUGAUGCCAAGAAAUCAUCAAUGUUAACCUAAUCUUUGUACCUUAAUUCUAACCUAUUAAAACCUGUCCUCUUUUACCAGGCAUGAAACACACCUAGUACAUGAUUAAUUUUUGAGAGUUCAACGUACUAUGCUGCAGCCUAGCUUUUGCAGAGAGCACAAAGGACUGGUGUCUGAAAGUGAGCAUACACAGAGGGCCUUUUAAGAUAACCAUUUUAAACCUGAUGAUCAGCAUGUCUUAAAUAACACAUCUUUCUGUGGACCUAAGACAUGAGAAAUCUUACGAUGAUUCAGCCCAAAAUGUACCUGAUGUAGUUGCCUUCAUACCUGGAAUGAAGACACAAGUGUUAUGUUCUGAAGAUAUCAGACUGUUGUAGAAACCUUAAGAUUUUUAAAGAGAAUAUUGUAAGUUGUGUGGGAAAAUGGUUUAUAUCUGAGAUGUAUGCUAGAUGACAUCCAUAACCGCAUGCAUUACAAAGAAUCAACUGUAAAGAUAAUGAAGGAAAUUGGCAGAAAAAACUAUGAUUUGAGAGAGGUUAAACCAAAUGUCAAUCAAAACCAAAGAACAUAGAUGCAAAAGUACUUAGUUAUCACAGUUUUCAGUUCAUUUGGAAUUAAUUGUGAAGAGGAAGAAACAACUCAAGUAUGAUAAAGGCUUAUAAGAAGAAUUUGCACACAAUAUAGUAAGGAAAGAAAAACUAAAAAGGAAUCAAUAAGAUCAUGAUCAAGUUGCUAGAUCAAAACCAGCUCCAUUUUUUUGUUUAUCCUAAAUGAGUAAGAUUUCUAAGUGAGGACAUUAAACUGGAGCUUUAGAAAAGUCACAGAAGAGGAGAGUAAAAAGGAAAUGGAAUGAAGAAAUGAACAAAUAAAACACAAAAGAAAAAUGAAAUUUGUUUCUGGGUAUUGCUCACCAUGACAUCUGGCAGAAAAUACUACGGUAAAUAUUUCCAACUAUAAAGAGCAUUCAAGGGUUAAGGAGCAAACACACACAUAAUGGUACAUAGGAGUAAAUGAAGUUAAAAAGAGUAACAGUGAUGAGCAAAAGAAAGAGCAGGCUGGAGCUGUAUAUGACAUUGUUUCUGUAAUAUGCAUAAUAAAAGAAAAAUAAUGUUUGUAAUAGCUGAAAGGAGUGCUACAGUGAGAAAAAAAGACACACAGAACAUUACACUUUUUUUUUUUUUCCUACCAGAGAACAACACCAAAAGAAAAUAAAACUAUCUAAAAAAAAAAUGCCAGAUAGUUAUCAAAGGGAAUCAGUUUCAUAUAAAAGAGGAUCAAGAAAUAACACUACCUGAAGAUUGACACAGCUUUAAAGUGAGCUGAGAGCUGUCCCAGAAUUCCAAAUAAAAUGACAGUCAACCAGGUAAGCCUCUCAGAAAGAUGCACAGAUGAAACUGCUUUGGAAACACAACACCUGUAUUCGAAGGAGUCCAGUGAAAUUCCCUCCUGUGUGGAGAAUCUUUGCAGUAUGUAAGAAUUCAAGUUUAACAAUUAGAAUUCCUAAAGUGUCAUGAUAAAACUCAGAACAACUGGUAUAGAAGAUGAAAGAGAGGAGAUAAGAACAGAACAUCUCAGGUUGUGCAACAAUUUUGUCCUUGAAGACAGUUCCAGGGAGGAGGAUUAUUACUCAAAGUAUAAGGCACACCACACAAGAUGAUAAAGUCAGUGACUCAGUACUGGAAAGAAUAAAUUAAGCAUCUGAUAUUUAUUGCUGAGUUCUAAGUAAACUUACAGUCAAAGGGAGAAAGAAUCUUCUGAAUCUCUGGACUCUUCAGAGGAACCUCAGUGAAAAGGAGAGAGAACAACUCCACAGUCUUUUCAAAAUGUUGCAAAUGAAGAAAGACCAAAGAUAUAUAAAUCUCUCCCUCCCUCUAUGUGUCUGAUAACUGCCUGUCCUACAAACAUGUUGUAAUGAGACUAAUAUCAUAUAUUCAGACCAGUUUUCUAUCCAGUUGCAUGCUAAAACAUAGGAGGUGAGAGGAAAAAAGAGAAAAAUAAAUAAAACAACUGUGCAGAUAAGCCAUCUCACUAGUUUCUUACUCUCCAUUUUCAAAACAUU